CAUCCGGCGGCGCCUCCUCCCUCUUUCCACGGCCUCCCGCAUCGCGCUGAGCCUCGUCGGCCGCUUCCCCCAGCCGGUGUCCCUCUCCAGAUGCAUCCUCCCCGAGAUCCGGUACGGAGAGAGUCAUGGUGGCAGGGGCAGAUGCAUGAGGAGGAGGAGGCCAUGGUCAUGGUGGCGCGACGGAGGUCGUGGCUCGCUCCCCGCCGCCUCUCUCGUGCCCCCCUUUUCCCUACCCCCUCCCCGGCGUCCUUGCCUCUGCCAUGGCCUCCGCCCGAUUCCAGAUCGGCCGCAGGUCGAGGAGCGGUUGCUGCAGUGAGGGCAGCAGCGUGCAGAGGGGGAGAGGUCAAGGACGGUUGCCAGUUCAUGGAGGAGAGAUGCAACACAAUGUUGAUUCCUACACUGAGUUUUAGUGGUGGCAUGGUGUCCAUCUCCAGGCCGGUUGCAACCUUCUGCCCCCAUCAUUCCCUGUAUUUUUUUUUCAUAAUUUACACACUAAGUUGUAGAUUGGUCGGAUCUAUUGGCAUUAGACAGCACAAGAAUAACAAUAGUUGUCAGCUUUUUCAUGUGCAGGUUCAGCAGCGGCAAUCCUCGAGAUAGAGUUAGGCCGAUCUGAAUAAACAGAGAUGAGCAGCAGCAUGGUUGGGUGCUCCAUUUGUAUGCGUUGCAUUGGUUAAUUUUGUUGUGCUCAUGUUUCUGUUUCAUGCUAUUGUCCACGAGUUCUACUUGCUGCUUAUUUCCAAUUAAGUAUUUAGUUCCAUAAUGCUCUGGCCAACCUAUUUUAUUGCAACAUUUGUGGUUCUUUUGUGCCAGAUUAGGUGUUUGUAUUUUUUUCCCGAGUUCUUAUGGCAUACUUUCUUAAGAUUUUUAUUGUGACACUUGCAGAAGUGCGGUUCAACAUUAGUUAGUAAUGCCCAGUAAGUUACUAAGGUGUUAUAUAACUGCAAUCCUUGAAAGCAGAGAUGAGAUAUCUAUCCAAUUCUACAUAUAUGGUUUAAAGUUCAUUGCGACAACCUUGCUCAUAUGUUUCGAUUAGUACAGAGCAAGGUUGGUUUAAAGUUCAUUCUAAAAUUCUUCUCUUUGUUGUAUCAUUUCUACAUAUAUCCUUUAAAGUUAGAGAAAUUUAGAUGUGAAAUGCCCAGAGUAUUAUGUCACACUUUUAUCAGAUUGCCAAGUUGGUAGCCGCUUUUGCGAUUAUAAAUAUUUUUUUUUCAGAGCGGCUGCUACUUCAGUGCCCAACUUUGAAGAAUGUACAUGCAUUUGGAUGCCAAGAUAUGUCGAUUGGUGCAAUUAGAACCCCAGGUGGCUAUGUUGUUGAUGGUGUUUAAUUAUUGUACUACCCGCAAAAAAAUACCCGCAAGAAAAUAUUGUACUGACAUAUCUGAGAAUUUUAAUGAUCUAUCUGCAACCAGGUGGUUAGGUGAUAUGGUCAGUUUAUGUUAUAGGGUGUGAUGUGAAGCUCAUGCUGGUUCAUUACAAGAGGUUAUGUACCACUCAUGUCUUAUUUUCUGCAGGUACCUGCCAUUCUCUGAUCCAUAUUCUAGAUGCUUCCAUUGCUAGAACAUUCUCAAGCUAUAUUGCAAAGUUUGUUGCUUAUAUAGUUAUUACUAUUGGUCUAUAUGGUGUCGGCUGGAUGUGUGCCACCUGAAAGAUCUCAUUGUUUGUAACCAGGCGAUACAAACAUUCCAUUACUACCAGACAUGUCUUUCUUUGGAAUGUGAGGAGGGAGCUCUGUUGUUGUCAGUGGCUACAUCAUUUCGACCAGUGAUAUGGUUAAUCUUUGCGAUGUGGACCAAUGGCAUGAUCUGUACCUAAGGUUGGAGUUGCUGAAUUAGGUUCAGAGAAUGGCCUCUAUUGCCUUACAGUCCAACUGAACACGUGAGAAAUUACUGAUGCGCAUGGAUGACAGCUUUCCCACGACGAAGCAAAAUUGCAGGACCUAUUAGGAUGCAUACCUGAAGGAGUGCAUCUACUGGCCCAGCUGAAAAUCGAUCUCUAUUUGGUUUAUGUAUUCUAUUUUUGCUCUCGGUUUUGUCUGCCGCUCGUCCUUGGUAUGCUCAUCCAUCUUGCCUGCUUUGCUUGCCUCCUUCUCCUCUCCAAUUCAGGUUAUGCGAUCUCUUGUGUUGCUGCGUCCCGAUCUCCAGCUUUGUUGCAUCUCUGUUCUGCUCCUCGAGGUGCUCAACAGGAGAAGCACUCAAUAGGAGAAGCAGGAGCAGCGGAGCGUUCGCCUCGUUGCAGGGUGCGUGGACAAACAGAUGCUAGGGGCAUUGUUUCACACAACACCUACACCAAUGACCACUGGACAAGUGAAGCAAAGGGACUUGUGAACAACAUGAAAACCUUUCAGCCAUCUUUUGAUUACAUGGAAAUAUUCCUUUGAUGCAUCCAUGUUAUUAUUUACUGACCGGCUGUGUUUAGCAACUUCAGUGUGUCGAUCAAAAUUACUACUCCCUCCAUCCGAAAAAGCUUGUUCCACGAAUGAUUGUAUGUAGCAUCAAGUUAGUGGUAGAUACAUCCAUUUGAGGAACAAGCUUUUUCGGAUGG